AUUGAACGCUGGCGGCAUGCCUUACACAUGCAAGUCGAACGGUAACGCGGGGCAACCUGGCGACGAGUGGCGAACGGGUGAGUAAAGCAUCGGAACGUGCCCAGUAGUGGGGGAUAGCCCGGCGAAAGCCGGAUUAAUACCGCAUACGACCUAAGGGUGAAAGGGGGGGAUCGCAAGACCUCCCGCUAUUGGAGCGGCCGAUGUCAGAUUAGCUAGUUGGUGGGGUAAAGGCCUACCAAGGCAACGAUCUGUAGUUGGUCUGAGAGGACGACCAGCCACACUGGGACUGAGACACGGCCCAGACUCCUACGGGAGGCAGCAGUGGGGAAUUUUGGACAAUGGGCGCAAGCCUGAUCCAGCAAUGCCGCGUGCAGGAAGAAGGCCUUCGGGUUGUAAACUGCUUUUGUCAGGGAAGAAAUCUUCUGGGUUAAUACCUCGGGAGGAUGACGGUACCUGAAGAAUAAGCACCGGCUAACUACGUGCCAGCCGCCGCCGUAA
rnacentral:rRNA from 1 species